AUGAAAAUGAUGAUAGAACUGGGACAUGCCUACACUGGGCAGGAAGGUGUGGUGCAGAAAUCCCCAGACGAACGCUGAACAAUCUAGCUCCAGACCUUGAACCAAAACAGCCAUGCAUGGAGCAAGCUUCAGCGAGCUCAGGACCAGCCCUGUGACAAUGCUGCUGAACCACCAGCUUCCCAGCUGGCCACCAUGCAGUGCUGUGGUGUUUGGAUGAUGCUGGGAUUCAAGGAUUCAAGUCAACCAGCAGCACAGAUCAUAAGAAACUGAUGAAGACAAACUGUGAGAAGAAGGUUCUUUUGCCCUACUGGCAGCUGACUCUGGUUGGACAUCAAAAAUUGGCUGACUUGUGUGCUUCCUUAAUUUUUUCCCCUCAUGUUUGAUAUUUUCAGCCUAUGUGACAAAGAAGAACAAGGCAUGUCUGAGUCACAUUAAUGCCCACUACACAUCCUUGGUAUACCACAGCAAGAGGCACAGAAAAGCUGGUUGGACUUCAUUCCUCUAAUCAAAUGUCAGAAAUGUUGUUAAAUGGAAGGUUUGGGGCCCUGUGUGGAACUCUGGAUGAGCAGUUGGAGAAACUGAGACUUGUUAUUCAUCACCAUCCAAGCUUCAGCAGAUUAUAUGGCAAGCACUGGAUGUUUUGCAGAGGGGAUCCUUCAAUCUUGGGAUUCAACUGGACUUUCAAAGCACUGUAGUACUGUUUUGUUGCAUUUUUUUAUGUUAUCCUGGCAUUGUGCCUCUAUCCUACCUGAAAAGACACUCUUGGGUCAGAGGAUUGUGUCCACUCAGCCCAUGGUUUUCUGAAAAGACAGCAAACAGGCCUGACAAUUAAACCUGAGUCAACCAUAAGACCACAAACCUCUAACCCACCCAACCCUAAAGGUUUAAUGGGAUUUGCUUGAGAGCAAAUGGGUUUCAAUAAGGUUCUUUCAGGCUCUUUGGGAAGCAGUGUCUCCAUGCCAUCAGUGUAGCGGCUGUGUGCAACACCUGGAGAAGACAAAAGGCAGAAGUGCCACAUUUUCAUUCUGGGCACAUCCAGAAAAAUCUCGAGGACUUACACAACUCCUCUGGGUGAAGAUAACUGUGUCCUGACCACCGUGGUGCUCCAUCCAUGUCGUGAUUGAACUGUGUUUUUCUUGCUGUGAAGGAAAAAAGAGGAGGCAAGAAGACAAAUAAGAAAGUGGACUCUGAAUGGUUGUUCAAAUGGCCAAAGGGAUCUUCACUACAACUGUAGAAGGUUGGCUGCAGAUGCCUACAGAGCUAGUUGAAACAGAUAAAUGUCAGGCUUUAAGCUGACACAGUGGGACAUUUACUCAAUAAACACUUGGGAACAGCUGCCCA
rnacentral:lncRNA from 1 species